GACGAACGCUGGCGGCGUGCCUAAUACAUGCAAGUAGAACGCUGAAGAGAGGAGCUUACUCUUCUUGGAUGAGUUGCGAACGGGUGAGUAACGCGUAGGUAACCUGCCUUGUAGCGGGGGAUAACUAUUGGAAACGAUAGCUAAUACCGCAUAACAAUGGAUGACACAUGUCAUUUAUUUGAAAGGGGCAAUUGCUCCACUACAAGAUGGACCUGCGUUGUAUUAGCUAGUAGGUGAGGUAAUGGCUCACCUAGGCGACGAUACAUAGCCUACCUGGGAGGGUGAUCGGCCCCACUGGGACUGAGACACGGCCCAGACUCCUACGGGAGGCAGCAGUAGGGAAUCUUCGGCAAUGGGGGCAACCCUGACCGAGCAACGCCGCGUGGGUGAAGAAGGUUUUCGGAUCGGAAAGCUCUGUUGUAAGUCAAGAACGGGUGUGAGAGUGGAAAGUUCACACUGUGACGGUAGCUUAACAGAAAGGGACGGCUAACUACGUG
rnacentral:rRNA from 1 species